rnacentral:misc_RNA from 1 species
AUGAGUUACCAACUGCAGUCACCCGCUCCUGCCGGGACUAGGCCAAUGUCCCAUGGAAUGAAUAUGGCUGAUCCAAAGGAACAGAUUUCUCUAUGGCAACAGAAUGCUUACAUAAGUGAUUCUGGUAUACAUUCUGGAGCAACAACACAUGCUCCUUCUCUUAGUGGAAAAGAAGAUGAUUUGGAUAGUGAACAGAUUGUGUUUGACUGGGAUCACGCCGGUUUCGGGCAAGGAUUUACUCAAGAUCAACUGGAUGAAAUGAACCAGCAGUUAAACCAGACAAGAUCGCAGAGAGUGCGUGCAGCCAUGUUUCCCGAGACUCUGGACGAAGGAAUAGAAAUUCCUUCAACCCAGUUCGAUCCGAGUCAGCCGACUGCCGUUCAGAGAUUAUCUGAGCCAUCUCAAAUGCUGAAGCAUGCCGUGGAGAAUUUAAUCAAUUAUCAGGAUGAUGCAGAUUUGGCUACAAGAGCAGUUCCAGAAUUAAUAAAACUCUUAAAUGAUGAAGAUCAAGUUGUUGUGGGACAAGCGGCGAUGAUGGUGCAUCAGCUUUCUAGAAAAGAAGCAUCUCGACAUGCUAUUAUGAAUUCUCCUCAGAUGAUAGCCGCUCUGGUGAGAGCAAUGACUACGUCCAACGAUCUGGAAACAACAAAAUGUGCAGCGGGAGCUCUUCACAAUCUCUCCCAUCACCGACAAGGCCUUUUGGCAAUAUUUAAAUCUGGAGGAAUUCCAGCACUCGUGAAACUACUCAGUUCACCUGUGGAAUCGGUGCUAUUUUACUCGAUAACUACUCUCCAUAAUUUGCUGUUACAUCAAGAGGGAUCAAAAAUGGCUGUUCGUCUGGCUGGAGGACUUCAGAAAAUGGUGGCUCUUCUUCAACGUAAUAAUGUUAAGUUUUUGGCUAUCGUGACAGAUUGUUUACAGAUUUUGGCUUAUGGAAAUCAAGAAAGCAAGUUGAUAAUUUUGGCAAGUGGUGGUCCAGCAGAAUUGGUUAGAAUAAUUCGUUCUUAUACUUAUGAGAAGUUAUUGUGGACAACAUCACGUGUUCUUAAAGUGCUCUCUGUGUGUUCUAGUAACAAACCAGCAAUAGUUGAAGCAGGAGGAAUGCAAGCUCUUGCAAUGCAUUUAGGACAUCAGAGUCAAAGAUUGGUGCUGAAUUGUCUGUGGACUCUCAGAAAUUUAUCUGAUGCUGGAACAAAACAGGAAACUAUGGAGAGUUUAUUACAAAGUUUGGUACAACUUCUGUGCAGUAACGAUAUCAAUAUAGUUACCUGUGCAGCAGGAAUAUUAUCCAAUUUAACAUGUAAUAAUCAGAGAAAUAAAAUGACUGUCUGUCAAGUCGGAGGCAUUGAGGCGUUGGUCCGAGCUGUCGUCCAGGCAGGAGACAGAGAAGAAAUAACUGAGCCUGCGGUUUGUGCUUUGAGACAUCUCACAAGUCGUCACGCCGAAGCAGAGAUGGCUCAAAAUGCCGUCAGACUCCAUUAUGGACUACAAGUUAUCGUUAAAUUGCUUCAUCCUCCGAGUCGUUGGCCACUGAUUAAAGCCGUUAUCGGACUCAUACGUAAUUUGGCUUUGUGUUCUGCAAAUCAUUCUCCUCUUCGGGAACACGGUGCAAUUCCCCGACUCGUUCAACUUUUACUGAAAGCAUAUCAAGACACACAAAGACGUUCCAGCGUGACAUCAAACAGUAGUCAGGUGGCAUAUAUGGAUGGAGUACGAAUGGAAGAAAUCGUGGAAGGGACUGUUGGUGCACUUCACAUCUUAGCACGAGAGGCACACAACAGAGCUAUUAUUCGUGGGUUAAAUGUUAUACCAGUUUUUGUUCAAUUAUUGUACAGCGAAAUCGAAAAUAUUCAACGUGUAGCAGCAGGAGUUUUGUGUGAACUCGCCGCCGACAAAGAAGGAGCCGAAAUGAUCGAGACAGAAGGAGCCACUGCUCCUCUUACCGAUCUGUUACAUUCGAGGAAUGAAGGAGUCGCCACUUACGCAGCUGCAGUGUUAUUUCGCAUGUCCGAAGACAAACCACAAGACUACAAGAAGCGUCUCUCGAUGGAACUGACAAGUUCCUUGUUUCGAGACGACGCGGGUCCUUGGGGAGCCAUGCAUCCGGAUAUGGACAUGAACAUGCUAGGCACCGAGGAACCUUAUCCCGACCAAAUAUAUCAGCCGGGACAGGGGCCCGUUCAUGCAGUGCCGCCCCGCCACAAUCCGUAUGCACAGCAAGGUGAGUUCGAAUAUCAACUGGACGUGUAAGAGAAAGGUAGUUGCUUUUAUUAUAACAAAUGGCUAAAUAAGUUUUCUUCUUUCUGAGCUUUCCUUGCUGAAGAGGAUGUUUGAUUAUGACCCUCAGGUCCCUAUUGAGUCAAUGGAAGGAUUGGACCUAGGUCCUCCUAUCAAUAAUGUUAGUGGAUACGGAUCUUUGGACACAGCUAUGGACAUUGAUAAUCACCCCGACUUAAACAUUGAUAAUUUGGAA